UACAGCCAGUCUGUUAAUCAAGCCCAUUCUGAUAAGGUUGACCAUAUGUUCGACAAAUUUCAAAGAUAGUUGCUAUGGUAAUUAAGUUUAUAGGAAAUCUGAAUGUAAUGGGAUGGUCACUUUUGUGAUUAUUUCCUGUUGUGUAUUUGUAAGAAAGCAGUGAUCGGAAGAAAACAAAAAGAGAAAAUCAUGUCAUCUGAGAUUCAAAGAGAAAGAAAGUAACAUAUCAAACAUUUGAGUACUUUUGGAGGAGAUACAGUAUAGCAGAGAGUAAGAAGGAUUAUGGGCACAAUCCUGGAAAACUGUAUUGCCAUGAAAUUGAAUUGGCUAGGGAGAGGAGACAAGAUUGAUUUUCCCCCCGUAUGAUCAUUAAUGAUGUUUUGAUAAAGUCGGUUAGAAAAAAAACAUAGCUGUAAAGAGUCUUCGGAUAAGGAGAAAGAUGAUGCAGCUAAAGAUUGGCAGGGCUUAAGCCUG